rnacentral:rRNA from 1 species
UCUGGUUGAUCCUGCCAGUAGUCAUAUGCUUGUCUCAAAGAUUAAGCCAUGCAUGUGUAAGUAUAAGUAUUAUACGGCGAAACUGCGAAUGGCUCAUUAAAUCAGUUAUAAUUUAUUUGAUAAUCGAAAGUUACAUGGAUAACCGUGACAAAUUACAGCUAAUACAUGCAGUUAGACCUGGCUCAAGGGUCGUAAUUAUUAGUACUAAACCAUUUCCGCAAGGAAUGUGAUGAUUCAUAGUAAUCGAACGAAUCGCAGGUAUAUGCGAUAAAUCAUUCAAGUUUCUGCCCUAUCAGCUUUGGAUGGUAGUGUAUUGGACUACCAUGGCAGUCACGGGUAACGGAGAAUUAGGGUUCGAUUCCGGAGAGGGAGCCUGAGAAACGGCUACCACAUCUACGGAAGGCAGCAGGCGCGAAAAUUGCCCAAUCCUGACACGGGGAGGCAGUGACAAGAAAUAACAACUCUAGGUUAUUCUAAGAAGUGUAAUGAGGAUAAUUUACAACCCUUACCGAAAGCAAUUGGAGGGCAAGUCUGGUGCCAGCAGCCGCGGUAAUUCCAGCUCCAAUAGCGUAUAUUAAAGUUGUUGCAGUUAAAAAGCUCGUAGUUGAAGUUCUGGCUGAUCGAUCCUCGAGCUCUGUAGCCGAGGACUCGUCAGUCAUCCGCUUGCAAAUAUAUGUUCGCCUUUAACCGGGUGGCUAUAUGAGUAAGCAAUUUACCUUGAGAAAAACAGAGUGUUCCAGGCAGGUUUGUCCGGAAUGCGUUAGCAUGGAAUAAUAGAAUAUGACUAGAGUCGAUUUAUUGGUUAAAGGCUUUAGUAAUGAUUAAUAGGAACAAUCGGGGGCAUUGGUACUCGUCAGUCAGAGGUGAAAUUCUAAGAUUUGACGAAGACUAACUGAUGCGAAAGCGUUUGCCAAGAAUGUUUUCAUUAAUCAAGAACGAAAGUUAGGGGAUCAAAGACGAUUAGAUACCGUCCUAGUCUUAACUGUAAACGAUUCCAUCUUGGAAUUGGGCGGAUAUAUUAUGAUUCGUCCAGCGCCAUAAGAGAAAUCAAAGUCUUUGGGUUCUUGGUGGAGUACGAUCGCAAGAUUGAAACUUAAAGGAAUUGACGGUUUUGCACACCAUGGAGUGGAGCCUGUGGCUUAAUUUGACUCAACACUGGGAAACUCAUCAGGACAAAAAAGUUUUAGGAUUGACAGAUUGAUAGCUCUUUCUUGAUUGACUUAAUGGUGGUGCAUGGCCGUUCUUAGUUGGUGGAGUGAUUUGUCUGGUUAAUUCCGUU